rnacentral:rRNA from 2 species
UGGGUAAUCUUCCGCAAUGGGCGAAAGCCUGACGCAGCAACGCCGCGUGAGGGAUGACGGCCUUCGGGUUGUAAACCUCUUUCAGCAGGGAAGAAGCGAAAGUGACGGUACCUGCAGAAGAAGCACCGGCUAACUACGUGCCAGCAGCCGCGGUAAUACGUAGGGUGCAAGCGUUGUCCGGAUUUAUUGGGCCUAAAGAGCUCGUAGGCGGUUAGUCACGUCGGAUGUGAAAACCCGGAGCUUAACUCCGGGCCUGCAUUCGAUACGGGCUGACUAGAGUGUUGUAGGGGAGACUGGAACUCCUGGUGUAGCGGUGAAAUGCGCAGAUAUCAGGAAGAACACCGGUGGCGAAGGCGGGUCUCUGGGCAACUACUGACGCUGAGGAGCGAAAGCGUGGGGAGCAAACAGG